GCGGAUAAUAGUGUGAUUAAAAAAUGCAGGCGCGUGCAUGAAGGCUAGUGAAUCAUAAACCAAACACAAUAGUUUGGGAUGUAGUUGGACGAGCGUGGGUGCUUGGUGGAUCAAGAAACUUCAUGGAUCUAGGAUACGCAACAGUCAACACGCAUACAAUAUAAGUUAGGAAUGAAGACUGUCGUAUCAGUUGGCUAUACCAAAAGAUUUUUUGGCAUCUGGAGGAUUAUUUUUCCAUAGAAAUUUCAAAAGAUGAUAAAGUUGAACUAAUCAAAUUUCAACAAGUUUGAAAAAUCAACUAUUUAUAUAUAUGAGGAUCCUGAUUGAUGUGUUAUGUUGAUUUGAAGAACGGUCUUGAAGUUAUGGAAUGAGACAAUUAUUUAAAAUUAACAAAAAAAAAUGUAUUAAUCAGAACUGGGUUGUCUAAAUGGUGGGGUACUCAUUGACACAUGACCUAAAAUAGAGGAAAAAUCAUACAGUUUACUUUUUAAGUCUUUACGGAACAAGAGUAGUAGGUUCCAAGUUGGAAAUAUUGCAAUUUUCAUCUUAAGAGGCUGUAAUGCCGGUUAUAAAAAAGGUCUUUCAUACGCGGAUAAUAGUGUGAUUAAAAAAUGCAGGCGCGUGCAUGAAGGCUAGUGAAUCAUAAACCAAACACAAUAGUUUGGGAUGUAGUUGGACGAGCGUGGGUGCUUGGUGGAUCAAGAAACUUCAUGGAUCUAGGAUACGCAACAGUCAACACGCAUACAAUAUAAGUUAGGAAUGAAGACUGUCGUAUCAGUUGGCUAUACCAAAUUCUUAAUUCCAAAACGGUAAAAUUACUAGUAUAUCCCGAUUGACACGUAUGAGUUACAUAGCGUUCGGUUCUUGAGCUGUCGUUAUCUCCUUUGGACAGCACUCCCGAAUUCUUAAUUCCACCUCUCUCGAUGAAAACACUACGACCAGAAAACCUCAUCAAGUUGACCGAAAAGAAAAAAUGUCUCUCCUCUCAACCUGUUAUUCCAUCUCUCUCGCAGCGGAAGUGAUAUUCGUUCAAGGAUCAAGUUGCAAAAGAACAUGGCAGAGAACAAACAUUGUCAAUUUGUUUGUUGAAGUAUUACGGUGGUGACGGAAAAUUCACAAUCGCAACUCAGUAACCAAAGCAAAAUGAGGAUCUUGUCUCACGGUUUACAACAGUUCAAUUUUAUCACUGUAUCUUUGAUCCCUGCAAAAACUAUUGGCAUGUAAACUCAACCUUCUGGAUCACAAAUCACAAUUCAUAGUCUUGUUUAUUAGCAA